rnacentral:rRNA from 1 species
AGGAAGGUAGUGUAGUUAACAACCUGCAUUAUUUGACGUUACCUACAGAAGAAGCACCGGCUAACUCCGUGCCAGCAGCCGCGGUAAUACGGAGGGGUGCGAGCGUUAAUCGGAAUUACUGGGCGUAAAGCGCAUGCAGGCGGCUUGUUAAGUCAGAUGUGAAAGCCCGGGGCGUUAACCUCGGAAUUGCAUUUGAAACUGGCAGGCUAGAGUCUUGUAGAGGGGGGUAGGAAUUUCAGGUGUAGCGGUGAAAUGCGUAGAGAUCUGAAGGAAUACCAGUGGCGAAGGCGGCCCCCUGGACAAAGACUGACGCUCAGAUGCGAAAGCGUGGGGGAGCAAACAGGAUUAGAUACCCCUGGUAG